rnacentral:rRNA from 1 species
GACGAACGCUGGCGGCGUGCUUAACACAUGCAAGUCGAACGGAAAGGCCCUGCUUUUGUGGGGUGCUCGAGUGGCGAACGGGUGAGUAACACGUGAGUAACCUGCCCUUGACUUUGGGAUAACUUCAGGAAACUGGGGCUAAUACCGGAUAGGAGCUCCUGCUGCAUGGUGGGGGUUGGAAAGUUUCGGCGGUUGGGGAUGGACUCGCGGCUUAUCAGCUUGUUGGUGGGGUAGUGGCUUACCAAGGCUUUGACGGGUAGCCGGCCUGAGAGGGUGACCGGCCACAUUGGGACUGAGAUACGGCGCAGACUCCUACGGGAGGCAGCAGUGGGGAAUAUUGCACAAUGGGGGGAAGUCUGAUGCAGCAACGCCGCGUGCGGGAUGACGGCCUACGGGUUGAAAACCGCUUUCGCAUGUGACGAAGCGUGAGUGACGGUAAUGGGUAAAGAAGCACCGGCUAACUACGUG